CGAACGAUGAAGCCCAGCUUGCUGGGUGGAUUAGUGGCGAACGGGUGAGUAACACGUGAGUAACCUGCCCUUAACUCUGGGAUAAGCCUGGGAAACUGGGUCUAAUACCGGAUAGGAGCGCCUACCGCAUGGUGGGUGUUGGAAAGAUUUAUCGGUUUUGGAUGGACUCGCGGCCUAUCAGCUUGUUGGUGAGGUAAUGGCUCACCAAGGCGACGACGGGUAGCCGGCCUGAGAGGGUGACCGGCCACACUGGGACUGAGACACGGCCCAGACUCCUACGGGAGGCAGCAGUGGGGAAUAUUGCACAAUGGGCGCAAGCCUGAUGCAGCGACGCCGCGUGAGGGAUGACGGCCUUCGGGUUGUAAACCUCUUUCAGUAGGGAAGAAGCGAAAGUGACGGUACCUGCAGAAGAAGCACCGGCUAACUACGUGCCAGCAGCCGCGGUAAUACGUAGGGUGCGAGCGUUAUCCGGAAUUAUUGGGCGUAAAGAGCUCGUAGGCGGUUUGUCGCGUCUGUCGUGAAAGUCCGGGGCUUAACCCCGGAUCUGCGGUGGGUACGGGCAGACUAGAGUGCAGUAGGGGAGACUGGAAUUCCUGGUGUAGCGGUGGAAUGCGCAGAUAUC
rnacentral:rRNA from 1 species